CUUAGCUGCACACUACCCCUUUUGUACCUCCUAAGCUUCCGUAGUGCUCGUCUCCCUCAGUUGCGUCUUGCACCGCUGAGGGAAGCAGAGGUAAUGUAAGAGGAGGCCAGGGGGCAAUUGAUGUGUGCAUUGUGUUCUGCAGAUGUGCGAGCCAAUAAAUCGUGGAAAAGAAGUGA